CUGGAAUUCAACUUGUUGCGGGAUUUCAACAAAGUCUGUCAGUGUGGUAUGAGGGAGCUGGUGGAGUCAGGAUGAUAUGACAUACAUGAUUCUUCAGAAAAGUGUUUCUCCCCUUGCUGAUGGAAGGCCUGACAGGUCCUAUUUCUCUCCAGACUGCUUUCAUCUCGGUCACACUCUCAUGGCUCGAGCUCUCUGGAACAACAUGAAUUCUGACAUGUGAAAAAUUCAGUCCGCCCCCUACUUGAGGACCUAUCAUAACAGCAAUUACACAUACGAAACCCCGCCCCCUACUCCUCCACCUGCCACA